CCUACGGGAGGCAGCAGUCGAGAAUCAUUCACAAUGGGGGAAACCCUGAUGGUGCGACGCCGCGUGGGGGAAUGAAGGUCUUCGGAUUGUAAACCCCUGUCAUGUGGGAGCAAAUUAAAAAGAUAGUACCACAAGAGGAAGAGACGGCUAACUCUGUGCCAGCAGCCGCGGUAAUACAGCGGUCUCAAGCGUUGUUCGGAUUAACUGGGCGUAAGGGGUGCGUAGGCUGUUUCGUAAGUCGUGUGUGAAAGGCGCGGGCUCAACCCGCGGACGGCACAUGAUACUGCGAGGCUAGAGUAAUGGAGGGGGAACUGGAAUUCUCGGUGUAGCAGUGAAAUGCGUAGAGAUCAAGAGGAACACUCGUGGCGAAGGCGGGUUCCUGGACAUUAACUGACGCUGAGGCACGAAGGCCAGGGGAGCAAAAGGGAUUAGAUACCCUUGUAGUC
rnacentral:rRNA from 1 species